GAGGAUUUAGCUUAAUUAAAGCGAUUGAUUUGCGUUCAGAAGAUGCGAGAUUUAUACUUGUAGUCCUUA